UAUCAGCCUGAAGGCGCCCGAUCUCGUCUAAUCUCGGAAGCUAAGCAGGGUCGGGCCUGGUUAGUAUCUUGGAUGGGAGACCACCUGGGAAUCCCGGGU
ensembl:rRNA 5S_rRNA 5S ribosomal RNA